UUCAGAUCUUGAACUAAACCACCUCUCCUCAGACCUCUCCCCGCUACUCCAUUGUUUUCGCCAUCAUUCCAGCUUCUUCCCUUAUUUUCUUUCGGGAAAAAUAUUCAGAAUUCAGAUGGACUCUCUUUCUGUAUCUCAGGCAAAAAAAGAUCUAGAGAAACUCAGAGCCCGUGUCAGUUAAGUACAAAGCAGGAGAGAUCGACAAUGAUUCUUGUGCUCCACCCAAACAUCUUCAAAGGAGGCAAGCUUAAAUCUCCAUCACAUAGAUCUGAGUUUGAGACCAAGUUGCAAGAUCGCUGGGUUUCAGUCUAGAUAUUGUUUGUGCCCAAGAUGACAUGUGCACGGGAAGUAAUCUACUACGCGAUUGCAGAUGCAAGGAAAUGGGAAGGUAGGUCAUGUGAAUCAAGCAAAUACAUGUGCCUGUUCAGUG
rnacentral:lncRNA from 1 species